AAGAUACCCGGGUAGUCCACGCCGUAAACGAUGGAUACUAGCUGUUGGAGGUAUCGACCCCUUCAGUAGCGAAGCUAACGCGUUAAGUAUCCCGCCUGUGGAGUACGGUCGCAAGACUAAAACAUAAAGGAAUUGACGGGGACCCGCACAAGCGGUGGAUCGUGUUCUUUAAUUCGAUGCUAAACGAAGAACCUUACCAGGGUUUGACAUCCCUUGAAUUAAUCCGAAAGGAUUGAGUGCUUUAUUGAACAAGGUGACAGGUGAUGCAUGGCCGUCGUCAGCUCGUGUCGUGAGAUGUUUGGUUAAGUCCAUCAACGAGCGCAACCCUUGCAAGUAGUUGUAUUUUUCUACUUGGACUGCCCCGGUAACGGGGAGGAAGGAGGGGAUGAUGUCAGGUCAGUAUUUCCCUUACAUCCUGGGCUAGAAACACGAUACAAUGGCUAGUACAAUGCGCAGCGAAGCCGCGAGGUGAAGCAGAUCGCAUCAAAGCUAGUCCCAGUUCGGAUUGGAGGCUGAAACUCGCCUCCAUGAAGUCGG
rnacentral:rRNA from 1 species